ensembl:lncRNA
GCCCUCUCCCGCCUAACAUUCUUAACAACCUUGUAGGUUCAGCAGAGCCUGAUUUCCACACUGACUCAGCACCGCAGAAACCCUCAGUUCCAGGAAGGAGGCCCGUCUCUCUUCAGUGCUUCCUCCAAAUCAGGCAUGGGAGUCUUGAGUGUGCCUGUUUAAAAAGAUUCCUCGUGGUUUCCAAAGGAUUCGAAGACCUCACCCACUUCAGAAGGAUAGUUUGACCCAGGGAAAAUCAGAAAUCAGAGAAUGUGAGUACUGGAAGCAACUUUAAAGAUCAUGUGAGAUACUUCACAAUCGGUGGUUUGGAUUCUUUUGAGAAUUUGAGGAAACAUAAAAGCACAUUUCCUGAGAACAUGCACAUUAAAACAUACGCAGGACUCCUUGGAGCCCAGAAAAAGAAUCUGGGUUUUUUGGACUUGAAGGAUCACUGAGAUAAAAUGACUUGCUCAAGACCAUAGAAGAAGUUGAUGGAGUUAGGACUCCAGCCUGAAGUACAGGGGGUCCUGGCUACCCUAGAGUUCAUCAUGUAAGGCCCUGCUGCUUUCAGUGGGCAUGGGAGACUUUAUUAAGGAAAAUACUGUAUUAUCUAAUGGACCAAACAGCAUUAAGUUAUUCCCCAUUCAAAUAUUCUGCUCCGUUUAGUGUUGACUCCCACCAAUGACAUCGCUGUCUUUCUUGUUCAGAUUCCAAGAUUACUGGUUGUUUAGAAUAUCCAGCAAAGCC